AAUAAGUGUUGUAUGAAUUUUCUAGGGCUACCGUAAUGAAAUACCACAGACUGACUGCUUUAAACAACAGAAAUAUAUUUUCUCACAGUUCUGGAGGUUAGAAGUUCAAGAUCAAGAUGUGGACUGGUUUGGUUUUUUCUGAGACCUCUCUCCUUGUCUUUCAGGAGUUUAUUUUCAUAGGUGGGAAGUCCUCAAAGGAUUUUCAAUAUUAUCAGAAGCUACUGAUGACAUGGAAACAGGUGUAAUCGCUGAACGCGGCUGGAAGUAAUAACCUUGGUCAAGGUGAACAGGGUGCUGGAGAUAUAGCAGUGACCAACACAAAGUCUCCACACUUGUGGAGUUUACAUUCUAUCGGAAUCUUCGCAAAGAGCCCUCCUAUUUACUAGCUGAAAAUGCCCCGUCCAGAACCAUUCAUGACAAACGGUGCAGGGCUCAAGUAGUUGAUCUCUGAUGACCACGUUUCUCCCCGAUAGCAGAGGCCCUCUUCCUUGAGAACUGUUAAGAAGUAAAGAAAACUGCAAAAGAACUACAGAUUCCUGAAAUCAAAGGAACAAAAACAAUGGGAGAAGGCAACAGAAGCAAAUAAAUGAGUUUCUCCAGAGCUGUACAAGGUUGACCAGGACUCCCCUCCCUGCAGCCUGGUGGGAGUUGCUAUUUCUUUUGUAUUAUGGGCCUGGCCUCAUGCCCACUCCCUAAGCCUCAACCCUGUCCCAGAAUGCUGUUCUCUGGGGCCUCGAAACAUACAUGGAUGUGUUAAAGCCUUGGGCGGCUUGGCACCCCACAGCGCUCGCUCCCAGUACCGUCUCUGGGUUACAAUGCAGGGAAAGGCACUAAUCAGAUUGUGCCUCCACCAGCCCCUGUUGUGAGGUUUAGGCCCAAGAUGAGAAGGGAAGGCCCCUGUUUCUGGACUGAAAAGGAAAUGUAAAUCUCUCACAGGCCACGUGCCAGAAGCUGCCGGGAGACCAUUUCCCUGUUAGUAAACAGGGCCUCCUGGGCCAUCUUUCUCUUCUUUAAUAACCUGUGGGGCACCUAUUGAUUGCACAUGCUGGUCCCUCAUAAAUUAUAACAGGGAUGCCUCCUAGUUGCUCUGGAGCUGCGUGGAUGGGAAAAUUGGCUCACUAAUACCUCAUGCUCAUGGAGCACAGUGUAUUGCGCCACAUAAACAUGAAGAAUAUGUAUCAUCAGGCACCGAGAACACACAGGAAACAACUCUAGCGGCUGCAGAGGCUUCUGGGCAUGCUGCAGACUUUAAUUAGCCAGUUUCUUCCACUGGUACUGGAGAGUGGCAGAAAUGCUGAUUACGUGCCUCCUCCUGCAGAAUGCUCUGCUUUCGGUUGGGGGGGGGCGGGUCAAGCUCUGGUGGGUGGGUGAUGGGUCUGCUCUCAUCCCUGCCCCCUCACCAGGAUGGGAGCUGGCACAUAGGAGGGAAGGUUCAUCUUUUGUGCUCGAGCGCCUAGUUAGGAAUCAAGACACAUCUACACUCACUGCCACCUACAGCUGUAUGAUCUUGGGUAAAUCCCUUAAUCCCUCUGAAUCUGCAUCCCAUCUGGGAAGUGGAGAAAGUAAUAUACCUAGUUGGUUGUGAGGUUUGAGGGAAAUAAGGCUGACCUGGUGCCCUGUAUGUUCUCAGUAAAUACUUGGUGAAACUGAAUUCGAAUCAGCUAAAGGUCACGGUGGCAGGUAUAGGUCUGAAACGAUUUCCUUCUCCCGCCUCCAGAAUCUGGCAUCCACCACUACCUGUAGCCAACACCCGGCUCUUUAAGUAAGAAGUGAGGCCACGGAACUCACAGCUUGACUGGAAAUGGUUCUCACAUCCCUCUGUCUUCCUGUGCCCCUCCUGACUUGGCUUCUGAAUUUAAAAUUCACUUCACAGGGCACCUUUCUAAAGUGGACAGUAAACAGAAAAACAUGCCAGCAUGGCUUACCAUUCUACGAAGAAAGCUUGGCAUCUACACGCUCACACUUGACAGAAACUUCAGUGUCUCUAACUUGAAGCAGGCCCUGGGCAAUUGGGUCCACUUGUGCUUUUCCAAAGUGAGUAACCUUGUCCCUGCAGCUCCACUUUUGCCAUUGCGUGAAAAUGGACUGGAAGGACAGUGUGUGUGUACCCAUGUUUUCCUGCCACUUCCCUGGGUCCUAGAAAUGAUCUCUGCUGCUCUGGAAUACUGUGUAGGGGGUUGAAUGGCGGUCCCCAAGAAGAUAAUCCACAGUCAGAACCCGUGCAUGUGACCUUCCUUGGAAAAAGGGUUCGUACAGAUGCAAUUAAAUGAGGGAUCUUGAGAUGAGAUCAUCCUGGAUUCCUGGGUAGGCCCUGACCCAAUGCAAAGUGUCCCUGUACAGUCAGGAGGAGAAAACACAGACACAGAGAAGUCCAUAUGGAGAUGCAAGCAGAGAGCUGCAGCCACAGGCCAAGGAGUCGCUGGGCCACCAGAAGCUGAAAGAGGCGAGCCAGGAUUAUUCUCUAGAGCCUUGGGAGGGAGUGUGGCCUGGCCAACACUGUUUUCAGACCUUUGGCCUCCAGAACUAUGAGAGACUACAUUUCUCUUGUGUUAAGCCACUUAGUUUGUGGCAAUUUGUGACAGCAGCUGUAGGAAACCACUGCAGACGUGUUCCCAAGGAUGGAUCCCAGCUCGGGUACUUCUGUCACAGGAGAUGCUCCUUCUCUCUCUGGGAGGAUUUGCCGGAGCACCAGUCUCAGUGGCCAGGUGGGCAACCAGCUCUUGGGAAGUGCAAACACUCAGAUGGGGCUGUGGCUGAGGAUCCACACUGGAGAAAGCAUGCCGGGAUGCUUUCAGCAUCUCUUGGCAGCCAAGGCAUUGCAGAAAUGGCCUAACUUUGGAACUAGACAGACUUUGGUUUAAAACUCAACUCCACUGUGAGCUUUGUGACUCCAGAUGAACUACUUGCCCUCUCUGUGUUUCAACUUCCUCAUCUAUAAAAUGAGGAUAAUAGCUCCUACCUUAUAGGCAGGAGCAGAUGCAGGAUGAAGCCUGCGUAUUUUUAGAGACCCUUUUAAAGAAGAAGAAAGCUUCAAAUCCAAAAUUAGGAGUGGGGCCUUGUGCUAGGGAGGGGCUCCAAGGCUUACACUAACCCGCCUCAGCUUCCAGGGUGUUCCGAGGGUUACAGAUAAAAGCAUGAAGCCCUAGGCAGCCCUGGCUCCUAGCGAGUGCUUUGCAAGAGGUAAAGCUAUCUGGAUGAAGAAUCCAACACUGAAGUGUCUACUGAAAGGCACACAGAUAUUUUUGUAACACACAGAAAAAUGUAUGAUAGAAUACAUUCCAUGGCGGGUUGCUAGUUGAUGGCUUGACAUCCGUUUUUCCUUUCUUUUCUGUAAUAGAAAACUGACAUUUUGGGGCAUGCCCAUGUGCUCAGCUAACACCUAGCUUUCCAAGCAUCUCUUGCAAAGAGGUGUGGCCAGGACACAAAGCUCUGGCCAAAGAAGUAUAAGCAAAUAGAGGUAAGACACGUCCAUACAAUCUUCUUACGGGAGCGUGUUUGCAACUGAAUUGUGCCUCCCUCAACCACCAUUCAUACGUUGCAAUCUUAAUCCUUAGUAUCUAAGACGAUGACCUUAUUUGGAAAUAGGGUAAUUGCAGGUAUAAUUAGUUAAGAUGAGGUCAUUAGGGUGGGCCAUAGUACAACAUGAAUGGUGUCCUUAUAAAAAGGGGAAAUUUGAACAGAGAACCACACGAGGCCGAGAAUGCAGUGAUGCCUGUGCAAAACUAAGGAACAUCAAGAAUUGUGAGCAGAUUACCUGUAGAAAGGGGAGAGGCAUGGAAUAGAUUUGGCCUUAUAGUCCUCAGAAAGAAUCAGCCCUGCUGACAACUUAAUUGCAGACAUUUGGCUUGCAGAACCAUGAGACAAUAAGUACACUUCUGUUGUAUUAGCCACUCAGUUUGCGGUA